GAAAUCGGGCAACCGAGUUGUAAUUUGGAGACGGGACACUAGAGAGGAGGAAGGCGAUUAAGUGCCUUGGAACAGGCUGCCGUAGAGGGUGAGAGCCCCGUGAAUCGCUGGAGACCGAUCAAUUAGUGCCCGCCGAAGAGUCGAGUUGUUUGGGAAUGCAGCUCUAAGCGGGUGGUAUAUUCCAUCUAAGGCUAAAUAUUAGCGAGAGACCGAUAGCAAACAAGUACAGUGAUGGAAAGAUGAAAAGAACUUUGGAAAGAGAGUGAAAUAGUACGUGAAAUUGUUGAAAGGGAAGGGUAUUUGAUCCGACAUGGUGUUUAGCAGCGGCCCGUUCCUCGUGGAUGGGUGCACCUGGUUUACACUGGGCCAGCAUCGGUUCUGGGAGCCAUAUACGGGGUUCGUGAAUGUGGCCCUUCGAUUCUGUC
rnacentral:rRNA from 1 species